rnacentral:lncRNA from 1 species
AGGAGAAACACGGUAUUGUGCUUAAGAUAUACAAUUCGAUUCAAAUAUGCCAGGCAAGAGAUACAACUGCACACCUCAAGUGAAAUUCAGAUACUCUUAAGACGUGUGUGUGCAUAUUCACAUAUCUAUAUGUAUAUACAUCUAAAUGAGAUUUGGAACUUGAAUUUAUAUAGUGAUUUUAGAGAAUUUUACUUAAAGGGUUUUUAUUUUCGUAUAUGCUUAAAGUGCUCCUAUUUCAAGACCGUUUUCUUUAUUAAAUCAGCCCCCUCGAGCAAAGUUGGAAACCUAAUGCAAGUGCCAUUUGCCCAAAUUAACCAGAUAUUUGUGUAAACUAUUUACUUUGUCUUUGGAUGCUUAUGAACCAUGACAUUCUGACUUUUCUUCCAUACCUUUAGGGAAUCAGCCUUAAUUUCCUGUAUGGCUAUCGCUUUCCUCAAAGUACUAUGCAGCAUACUUCAAAUGUUUAUCUUUAUAAAGUGAUUAGUAAUAAAUCUGAGGUGUUUUCAUGUCCUAGGGAUGAAUAAUUCCACACACUCAGAUACUGACUCACACAGCAUUCUAUUAAAAGUGCUCAUAUAGUACCCUCCCUCACCAGUGUCAUCUUGCAUUUGAAGCAGGUAUUUUUUCCUUAUCAGUUAAAGAAUGAGUGUAGACUGGGUACAGUCCUAGUAGGUGCUCAAUAAAUAUUUAGCUGAUUAUUGAUCUGACAUCAAACAGUUGUCUUUUCACAGAGGAGUCUAUUUUUAGAGUAAUAUAUGUUUGAAACUGAAAAAUUCUAUCAUUUGAAUGACGAGGCUCAUUUAGGCUGGAGUUUAGUAACAUGCAAUAACAAUACUAUUUGUGUAGAACAUUCUCUGAAGAUAGGAGAUGGGAAAAAUUUAAGCAGUAUCUUUUUGUGCAAGGCACAUUAAUAAAGUGAGUAAGUUAAUGUCUUAAUAGGCUGCUGGACUCGAGAGAGAACUGCUGUAGACUUCUGUGAUCAGUUUCUGUGUUGGUAAACCUAGUAUCACCUGUCUUAGGUUCUGUUCAGUUUUCCCCAACUCUCGGUUGCUUUCCAGUGUCUUAAAAGUAGUUGUGGUAAAAUGUGAAGUUAUAUUAAAUAACCUAUACUUGUUUUCUCAGAACAUCUUUAAUAUGAGAGAGAAAUUUUUAUGAAUGAUAACAGUAGUUUCAGAAUCUGUUAAUUUGUGGCUUUCAGAUCAUUUUUGACAGGGCUUGCCCAAUGUGAACAGAUUUAAAUAGUUUAAAAACAAACAUUCCAACCUGAGCUGUGAGGAACAGAGUGUCGAGUACUCGUGUAACUGGGCAUGGCCUCCUGGCGAGGUUCUUGAUCCCUGACUGUGAUACUGAUUUCUGACUGUGAAGACCACCGUCAGUAUUCUAGUUUGACGUGUGUUCUUCCUUGAAGACGAUGAAAUGAGUGCUAGAUUAACUUGUAUUUGAGAUGGACAGGAUAAAAAAUGAUGUGGUAUAAAUAUGCCAGAUAUUUAUACACACUACUACAAAAACUAAAAAAAGGAGGGAAGAAAAUGAUAAAAGGUCAGCGUUUUGGUUUGUUUUUUUUAUAGCCUCUAAAAAAAUUUCUUUUUAGAUCCAAGUCCCUCGGACACUAAGCAGUUGCUUACUUUAUUUAACACUGUGGGACUUUAAGGGUUAGUUUCUCAGAUACCAUCAAUAGUCUGCUAUUGGAAUUGACCAUGUGUGUGAACUUUACAUUGCUUGAAGAUUUUCCAGAAGUGGAGUAUUUAAGUAGCAGUUGUAGUUGUUUAAGAUUUCCCGUAGGUUGUGGUUAAAUGGACAAGUUACAUAUAUGAUCUGUGGUGCAAGGUCAGAUCCUGGGCAUUAAAGAUAAGUUUGGCUAACUUGUUUUACUGAAGAUACUAAUUGUCUUCCCUCUCCACUGCUGUUUUUCUUAAACUCGUUUCUUUCCGUGUAACAGUCUGCAUUGAAAGUUCUUUUAGCUCUCACAAUGUACUAAUUCACAUUUUUUAAGGAUUAAAUAUUUUAUGAAUUCUUUUUACAUUUAAAAUGUAUACCUUGGAGAGGGAUAAAAAUAAAUUUUGUGGUAAAGUCUGUGCAGAGGGUGCUAUGGUGUCCUGGGAGUGAGUUCUCCAGAGCGCUUAAAGUAUGAUGCUAAAUUUGAAGGCUAAUAUAAUGACUAUAGAUUAUUUGUAUUAGCACUGUCCAAUAGAAACAAAUGGGAGCCAUAUAGGUAAUUCUUAAUUUUCUAGCAGGCACAUUAAAAAAGAAACUGGUGACAUUAUUUUUAAUUAACUCAAUAUAUUAAAAAUAUCGUUUUAGUAUGUAAUCAAUAUACAUAAUUAUGGAGAUAUUUUGCCUUUUUUUUUUUUUUUUUUUUUUUGCCCUGAUGGUAGGUUUUUAAAAUUCAUUGUGUAUUUUGCACUCACAGUGCAUGUUAGUUCUGGUGAGCUAGAAGUGCUCAAAUAGCCACGUGGCUAAGGGCUGCUAUAUUGGACGGUGCAGGUUCAUAGGGUACAGAGUAGGACUUUAUUUUAAAUUGGGAGAUGGUGUGGUCAGGUAGGCAUGAAAUUAUGGUACUUUAAAAAUUACUUUGUAUACUUAGAAAAGUAUCUAAUAGAAUUAUCCACAUUGUCUUCAUUUUAAAUUUGCUGUAGAACUAGCUCAAUCUGUUCCAAUUUGCCAAGCAUUAUUAAGGAGGAAGAAAUUCCAUGCCAUGUAAAAUACCAUGAUAUGCUCAUUAUAACAACACAUUAUUAACACAUUUUUCAAUGUGUUCACUAAAUUCUGUCCUGUUUUUUCAAAGUAAUAGCUUAAAUUGCAUGUUAAUUGUAUAUCUGUACUUGUUUUGUUUUUAUAUUAUUAUUAUAAUAAUGUGUAUUAACAAACAGCCCUAGGAUUCUAAUAUUCCUGUGCAUCUGUCUUCCAGUACUUACUGGUACACUUAUUAAGUUGUUAUAAGUGGCAGAAAAGUAGAAUGAACCAUUGGUUUUUUCCAUUAGAUUGUUUUUAUCAUGUGAUCUGUACCAAGCCAGCUAUAAAUUAUUAUAUUUCUGUAGACUAUGGAAAAUAGUGUUUAUGUCUUAUCUUUACUAAAUGUUUGCAAUUUCUAAGUAAACUUUUCAUCUCC